CCUACGGUGGGCUGCAGUGGGGAAUAUUGCACAAUGGGCGAAAGCCUGAUGCAGCGACGCCGCGUGAGGGAUGACGGCCUUCGGGUUGUAAACCUCUUUCAGUAGGGACGAAGCGCAAGUGACGGUACCUGCAGAAGAAGCACCGGCUAACUACGUGCCAGCAGCCGCGGUAAUACGUAGGGUGCGAGCGUUGUCCGGAAUUACUGGGCGUAAAGAGCUCGUAGGCGGUUUGUCACGUCGUCUGUGAAAUCCUAGGGCUUAACCCUGGACGUGCAGGCGAUACGGGCUGACUUGAGUACUACAGGGGAGACUGGAAUUUCUGGUGUAGCGGUGGAAUGCACAGAUAUCAGGAAGAACACCGAUGGCGAAGGCAGGUCUCUGGGUAGUAACUGACGCUGAGGAGCGAAAGCAUGGGUAGCGAACAGGAUUAGAUACCCCGGUAGUC
rnacentral:rRNA from 1 species